GGAGGAGGCCAGCAUCUAGCCAUUGCACACUGGGGUGAUGGGUGGGGGCGGUGACUGCCCCAGACUUGGUUUUGUAAUGAUUUGUACAGGAAUAAACACACCUACGCUCCGGCUUCGUGUCCUGUGUCUCCUGGGUCGAGCACAGCCUUCUGGUCCACGCUGCAUGCGGCCUCAGGACCGUGUCUUCUGGUUGGGGGCUCCCAGUAAAGCGAUCCUCAGCUUUUUCAGCAGCCAGUGGCCAGUGAGAGCACUGACGCGGCUCCCAGGACCUCGGCAGGAUGGAAGAGAAGCUGAAGAAAACCAAGAUCAUCUUUGUGGUGGGUGGGCCUGGCUCAGGGAAGGGCACCCAGUGUGAGAAGAUCGUGCAGAAGUAUGGCUACACACACCUCUCCACCGGGGACCUCCUGCGGGCCGAGGUCAGCUCAGGCUCGGCCAGGGGCAAGAAGCUGUCGGAAAUCAUGGA
rnacentral:sRNA from 1 species